rnacentral:lncRNA from 1 species
AAUCCAGUAUGCUGUUAUUCAUCUGUAUGUGUUAUGUAUACAUGGCCACGAGUGUUUGAGUGUGUGUCUGUGUGUGCAUAUGUGUGUGUGAUAGGUGUCACUAGUUCCAUACUUUAUGAUGAGUGCUUUAUUCACUGAGCCAUAGCCAGUACCUCCACCCCCACCCCUCAUUGUUUCUUGAGAUACAUUUUUUUUUCUAGGUCAGGCAGAGUAUCUCAGCCAGUGUAGGAACUUGCCAUGCAAGCCUGGAGAUCUGAGUUCAGUCCUUGGAACCCAUGUAAAGGUAGAAGUGGUAGGCUAACUUCACGAAUUGGCCUUUAGAUAAGUUUCUUAGCACACAUGCACACACAUACAGAUCAUGUAUUCACAUAUGAUAGUAAAAAUCUUCUAAGUAUGUUUUUCUGUUUCAUUUCUCUUGUUUCCUUUAUAGAUUCCAGUUACAUGUUACUCCAGUUGAUUUGAUUUGCUUACUCAUUGGUGGGUUUUGCUUUUGAAAUAAGGCCUCUCUUUGGCUAUGCUGUCCUAGAACUCACUAUAAGGCUCUGAGCUCAGAGACAUCCUCCUGCAUGCCUUAGCUUCCCAACUGACUCACCACAGAUGGCUAAAACUUUUGAUAGCAUCCUCGGGUCUAGUCCCGCAACUCUCCUGCUGUGAGUGGUUUCUUCUUCCUUCCUCUCCUAUAUUCCUUACUCUCUUUCAGUUUGUAAUUCCUUCAAGUUCCCUAACUCCUGUCAUUUAUGUCCUACCAAUUAUUGAGAUUUUUAUUUCAGAUAUCUUCCAGGUGUAAUUACCACUUGAGUCUUUCUAUUCAUAUUUUCUAUUGUUUUAAAAUUCUAAACAACUUUUCUCUCAUAUCCUUGAACUUCUUAUAUCCUUUGAGCUUCUAUCUACUAAUUCAACAUAAGAGUUCUCAUUAGAGUCCAUUUCCUUCAGGUUUUUGCAGGGUUUUUUUUUGGGUUGUGUGGAGGGGUUCUCCUUAAAAUGGGUCACAGGGAUACUCUUUCAGAAGACCCAGGUUCGAUUCUUAGCACACACACACACACACACACACACACAGAGCCACACAACCAUCUGUAACUCUAAUUCCAAGUAAUCUGACACACCCUUCCAUCUCAGCCCCCACAGGCACUGGGCAUGCACAUGGUAAGCAGACAUAUAUGCAGACAAAAUACCCAUACACAUAAAAUAAUGAAAUAAUUUUAAUUAGAAAACUAGUCUUGAGGUGGUUAGUACGACGAUCCAGCAGCAGAGCCAUUGUUUAAGUUACAUCAUCAGGGAGGAGACAGUUGCCAGGUGCCAGCACCACUGGAGCAGUCUGUCUGCUCUUACAAGCCCAGCUCAAGCUAUAGACUUGUUUCCUUCAAGGACACCCCCGGUUUGUGGAAAGGUCAAGUCCAUUCCUUUGUGAUGAGGCAGUGUUUAGUAACUGUAAGAGAUCAUGUUUCAGAACUGGUGUUCCUGUGAACUUGCCAGAGCAAGUCCCUCCUCUAGCCUUUCCUUUGGAUUUACUGCUGCUUUCUCUGGGUAUUUUCCAGACCGACUUAAAUAACUACAGACCCAGACUGAGUUUGUAUCCAAAGAAAAGGUUGUGAUAUCAACCCUUUGUUUUGGUGAUUAGCGUUUUAAAAAGUUUUUUCCCCUAUAUCAGUUUUUUAUCUUUAACAAUAAAUGUUUUAUAAUUUCAAAGAGAAGAGUUUGUAUCACAGUAACCCAUAGUAGCCCAUAGAAUAGAUACUACAGAGAGGAAAUGGGGCAGAGGUGGCACACGUGAGACCUGGGUGCUACCCCAGCAUCAUGAUAUAGGGAAAGGGAAGUAUCAAAGUUUCUUCUUUUCUGUUGGCUUUAAGGCUGGAGGAGUGUGGAGCCAACUUGAAUUUACUUUUGUGUUUGUCUUUUCCCAAAGUCUUUUGUUUCUCCAUCAUGGAGCUCUUCUUGAUUGUGAAUGAUGGAACAGCCUCCUAGGGAGAUUAGCUCCCCACUAUUGCCUUUUCCUUUUGGGGUAGCCAAAGAAUUUGAACCCCACACUCCAAGACUGAGUGGCCUUAAGCAUUUAUGAAACAUCCUUGGGUGGAGACUUGGGUUUUUUUGUCUUAGAAACAAGCGCCUAGCAGACCCCUUCAUUUUUGCUCCAGAGGUGAAGUUAGAAGAUUCCUGUGCUUGACUACCAAUGUAGUCGUGAGGCC